rnacentral:lncRNA from 1 species
GCCCAACAAUUAAACUGAACCAAACCCAAUAAGAAAGCCCAAAAAUUCGGCCCAAACCCGGCUCCAAAUUUCAGCCCAAACUCCUCACUCUCGGUUCUCUCUCUAUCAUCUCUCACGCCUCUCUAUCGCUCUCUUUACCGACAAUUCUCCUCUUUCUCUCCCUUUUAUCAUUAUUAAAGCUACUUUUAAAUUCUUUUCUCUUUAAUUAAAACCGCAUGUUGCUCUCUCUCUUACUCACAAAAAUUCUCACGCUGCAUCUCCUUCUCUCUCAAUAUUUUUCAGACAACAUCUAUCUUUAUUAAAAGCAAAUAUUCCUUCUCUUAUCAUGACCGAACCACUCUCUCUUUUUUUCCUUAUUAAAGUAUAGCACUCCCCCUCUCUCUUAAUUAUUAAAACUGAAACUCUCUCUAAAAUAAAAUAAAAAAAAACGACUGCAUCAUCUCUCUCUCUAUUCCUCUCACGGCUGGAGCCUCCCUUCCAUUUCUCAAGCUCGUCUCUCUCACUCUCAAUCGAACGAUCUGCUAUCUUUCUCCCUCGAUACGCACCAGAAUCCGACAGAGACGGCGCUGCCUUCGGUUCUCUCUCUCUC